rnacentral:rRNA from 1 species
GCGUGAGUGAAGAAGGCCUUCGGGUUGUAAAGCUCUUUCGGAUGUGAAGAUAAUGACAGUAGCAUAAGAAGAAGCUCCGGCUAAACUCGUGCCAGCAGCCGCGGUAAUACGAGUGGAGCGAGCGUUGUUCGGAAUCACUGGGCGUAAAGCGUACGCAGGCGGUCAUGAAAGUCAGGAGUGAAAUCCCAGGGCUUAACCCUGGAAUGGCUCUUGAAACUCCAUGACUAGAGUACUGGAGAGGUUGGCGGAAUUCCGAGUGUAGCAGUGAAAUGCGU